rnacentral:rRNA from 1 species
CAGCAGCCGCGGGAAUACGUAGGGUGCAAGCGUUAAUCGGAAUUACUGGGCGUAAAGCGUGCGCAGGCGGUUCGCUAAGACAGAUGUGAAAUCCCCGGGCUUAACCUGGGAACUGCAUUUGUGACUGGCGGGCUAGAGUAUGGCAGAGGGGGGUAGAAUUCCACGUGUAGCAGUGAAAUGCGUAGAGAUGUGGAGGAAUACCGAUGGCGAAGGCAGCCCCCUGGGAUAACACUGACGCUCAUGCACGAAAGCGUGGGGAGCAAACAGGAUUAGAUACCCGAGUAGUCCCUGUCUCUUAUAC